CACCGGCGCCACAAGUGGGACGAUAUUAUUGGGUCUAAGCAUCCGUAGCCUGCUGAAUAAAUACUCUUGUGAAAUCAUUAUGCUUAACAUAAUAGGCGUGCGAGAGAAACUGUUUGGCUUGGGACAGGGAGAGGGCAGAAGUAUUCCAGGGGAAGCGGUAAAAUGUGAUAAUCCUUGGAAGACUACCAAUGGCGAAGGCAUCUGCCUAG
rnacentral:rRNA from 1 species